rnacentral:rRNA from 1 species
AUUGAACGCUGGCGGCAUGCCUUACACAUGCAAGUCGAACGGCAGCACGGGAGCAAUCCUGGUGGCGAGUGGCGAACGGGUGAGUAAUAUAUCGGAACGUGCCCAGUCGUGGGGGAUAACGCAGCGAAAGCUGUGCUAAUACCGCAUACGAUCUACGGAUGAAAGCGGGGGAUCGCAAGACCUCGCGCGAUUGGAGCGGCCGAUAUCAGAGUAGCUAGUUGGUGAGGUAAAGGCUCACCAAGGCGACGAUCUGUAGCUGGUCUGAGAGGACGACCAGCCACACUGGAACUGAGACACGGUCCAGACUCCUACGGGAGGCAGCAGUGGGGAAUUUUGGACAAUGGGCGAAAGCCUGAUCCAGCAAUGCCGCGUGCAGGAUGAAGGCCUUCGGGUUGUAAACUGCUUUUGUACGGAACGAAACGGUGAGCUCUAAUACAGUUUGCUAAUGACGGUACCGUAAGAAUAAGCACCGGCUAACUACGUGCCAGCCGCCGCGGUAAAAC